rnacentral:rRNA from 1 species
GACGAACGCUGGCGGCGUGCCUAAUACAUGCAAGUAGAACGCUGAAGAGAGGAGCUUGCUCUUCUUGGAUGAGUUGCGAACGGGUGAGUAACGCGUAGGUAACCUGCCUGGUAGCGGGGGAUAACUAUUGGAGACGAUAGCUAAUACCGCAUAAAAUGGAUUAUCGCAUGAUAAUCCAUUGAAAGGUGCAAAUGCAUCACUACCAGAUGGACCUGCGUUGUAUUAGCUAGUUGGUGGGGUAACGGCUCACCAAGGCGACGAUACAUAGCCGACCUGAGAGGGUGAUCGGCCACACUGGGACUGAGACACGGCCCAGACUCCUACGGGAGGCAGCAGUAGGGAAUCUUCGGCAAUGGACGGAAGUCUGACCGAGCAACGCCGCGUGAGUGAAGAAGGUUUUCGGAUCGUAAAGCUCGGUUGUAAGAGAAGAACGAGUGUGAGAGUGGAAAGUUCACACUGUGACGGUAUCUUACCAGAAAGGGACGGCUAACUACGUG